rnacentral:rRNA from 1 species
UACGUAGGGGGCAAGCGUUGUCCGGAAUCAUUGGGCGUAAAGAGCGUGUAGGCGGUUCGGUAAGUCGGCUGUGAAAGUCCAGGGCUCAACCCUGGGAUGCCGGUCGAUACUGCCGGACUAGAGUUCGGAAGAGGCGAGUGGAAUUCCCGGUGUAGCGGUGAAAUGCGCAGAUAUCGGGAGGAACACCUAUGGCGAAGGCAGCUCGCUGGGACGGUACUGACGCUGGAGACGCGAAAGCGUGGGGAGCGAACAGG